rnacentral:tRNA from 1 species
CCCCGUGACAGCAUAAAAGUUGACUGUUAAUCAAUUGGUCGUAGGUUCGAUCCCUACCGCCGGAGCCA